rnacentral:rRNA from 1 species
GACGAACGCUGGCGGCGUGCUUAACACAUGCAAGUCGAACGGAGUGGCGAACGGGUGAGUAACACGUGGGUGAUCUGCCUUGCACUUCGGGAUAAGCUUGGGAAACUGGUUCUAAUACCGGAUAGUGCAAGAUGAGCUCGCGGCCUAUCAGCUUGUUGGUGGGGUAAUGGCCUACCAAGGCGUCGACGGGUAGCCGGCCUGAGAGGGUGUACGGCCACAUUGGGCGUGGGAUGCUGCCCGGGCGCCUGCGGGAGGAAGGGGUGGGGAAUAUUGCAAAAUGGGCGGAGGCCUGGUGCAGCGCCGCCGGGUGGGGGAUGAAGGCCUUCGGGUUGUAAGCUCCUUUCGACAGGGACGGGGUACCUGUAUAAGAGGCACCGGCUAACUACGUGCCAGCAGCGCGGUAAUAC